UUAUAAGUUUGAUCUUUAAUUCCUUGAAUAAAGACAUGGAUUAUUUCCUUAGAAUUUUGUUGGUACACUAAAGAGGUUUAUGAGGAGUUUAAGUUCUUGGAGUACUAUGAACUUACAGUCGUCUAACUUUGUAUUCAAAUGCAUUUAGGAUAGCCAGACAUUCUUACAACUCCAUUAUAUAGACUUUCAACAAUGGUAGACACAGUGUAUACAGAGGAACCGAACAACUGAACAGAGCAGAACAGUAUUCAAUGACCUUGAAGAGCAAGCAAUGUGUACAGUGAAACAGCUAUCUUUGUAGUUACCAAAGGGUUACGGCAAGAACCUCAUCUAUAAUUAUAUGUGAUUCAGCUUAGAGAGGAUGUUUCAGUUGUCGACCUUGAAUAUGGCUAACAGACCAGGAAGAGUGGCAUAUAGAUUUCCGUAACUCUAUACUCUAUACUCUAUACUCUAUAUAUUUUAUUUUUAUCACAGAUGAAGCUAAAUCUACUGUAACCUUUCUGUGACAUGAUUUUCAUGGUGUUGGAUUAUAAAACUUUGGGGUCUAAUACAUCUAAAAGGAAGGUUAACAUCACAGCUUGUCCGUAAGGAUUGAGGUUGGGAAUGGCCAUUGGAGCUGACUUUUUUGGUAACUUUAACUGUGGCUGCAUGAAAAUGAUUGGGUGACUGUACCAGUAAAGAAUAUAAUUCAGACAAUUUUUGUGUAUGUUUGAGAAAAUGUUUAUAAUUUUUUACAAAAAAAACAAAUAGUGUAAAGAUUCUCCAUUUUCAACAAGAUUGUAAGUUAUAGAUAACUUAUUUUGAAUUUUAAAAUCUCUCUUUUUUUUACCAUUAAAAUCAAAGGAUAUAUUCAGGUAGCUCUACUCAUGUCCAUUCUUGACAAUUUUUUUGUCAUGCAUAUUGAUACUGAAUUGGUUUUUGGUAUGUAUAGUUUUGUUUUGAGUUCAUAGUUCAGAUUCAAUCAUGUAUUCAUUAUUUUUUUUCCCCUGUGGCUAGAUUUAAUUGGUACUUUGAAAAUGAAUUGAAAUGGACCAAUUUUAUUUGAAGACCUACUCUUUUAGAUAUAUUAAUAAUGGUCCGUGUCUAGUCAAAACACUUCCAGAAGUUAAGGAUGGAGAAUCUUAAAAAAAAAAGAAAAAAUAAAAUGUAUAUUUUGGCUUUCACCGUUGUUAAAUAUAUAUCUUUUCCGAC